rnacentral:lncRNA from 1 species
CCUCCGCCGCUUCUCCCGCGCCUUAUCCUCCCAGUUCCUCUCUCCUAGCUAAUCUCCAACCCUACACCAUCCUCUCCUCCUUGACCGCCUUUCUCCUCCAUUGGAAAAGGAGCACGGGCUCGUCUCUGCGUAGCCGCUACAAGGACGUCGGGUGGAGGGAUCAGUGGUCGGUGGUAAGAGUAGGAGCACACGGGGGCGGACGGCCUCCCUGCGCGACGGUGGAUACUUCACCGACGGCCAGCCAAUACGUCGGACAGAAGAAGAAGAUGGCGUGGGCGAUGAUAUGGUGCGGUGGAAGAAUACGGCGUGGGCGAUUCCGGUGAGAUAUGCCUCCAGCGACGCAAUAAUGUGAAGAUCCUCUCCACAAGCCAUACUCUUGCGUUGCAGCGAGAGGUCGUUAGAUUCGUCGUGCUAGACGUAGCCGUCGCCCACUUGCUCCACCUAAAGUUCCUCCUCCCCACCACGGGUAGAUGCCGGUGAGGCCAGCCUUCCCUGCACGUGCAGGUACUCCCCCGCCCCCUUUCCCUAUCUCUCUUCCCUGACCCCGUCUCUCGAUUGUACACAGAGAGAGACCCGUGGUGGCAGCACAACAGUGCUUCAGUGGAUAGGUUGUGAAAGAAAGUUCAGAUUAGGGACUAUCAUUCUCAUAGAGUCAUAGUAUGCUUUGCUGAGGUAGAUUUUUCAAGUUUACCAGGUUUAGUUAGGUUUUUGUACCCUUGUUGAGAUGGCAUGACACUGAUAAAUUUAUUUUGUUGACGUAGCUACUUUGUUCCCCAAUUUUACCGAUGCAUUUUAUUCUUAUAUCUACCUGAUUUCUUAACCGAUUCAUCUGUUGGCUUAGAUAGUACUUCAAAUUAUCCGGUGAUGCACACAUUUUAUUUCAAAAGAAAAUUUGAUUGAUUGAGGAGCUGCACACUAUCUCAGUUUGUAUAUGCUUUCAACGUCGAAAAUAAUUUAGCCAUGUUUAUGUUUUUUUGCUUAGGUGAGCCUUCCCAUGAUGAUGAAUUUGCAUAAGAAUGCAGAUUUUCCUUGGGAAUCCUACUAGAUGGGUAGAGAUCUUGAUAGAUUUACUUAAUAUUCAGGAGCCCAAGAGUAAUGUACUGUCUUCUCUAAUUUGGAAAUGAAGUAUGGUGUGCGGAGUGGAUGUACUAACAUAGUAUGUGCUUUUGUGCUGAAUUACAUGGAAGGUCAAGAUGACCUCACCUACUGAAAUGUUUUUUUGGUUAUGUUUAUUAAUCUAUGGAUGCCUACUGGCCCUAAAUAUGUUUGGUCAAAAUGUUUUCCUAUGAAGUUUCUAUGCUAUAUAAGAAAGUUAGUCUGAAAUAUUUGAAGUCAUAUUCUAUUGUAUAGUUGCAUAGCUAAUUCAGUUGCAUUAUUUCAGAGCAGGUGUUUGUAUCUAUCUUAUUUUUCAG